UAGAAGGCUGUGAUGUUUGAAACCUACCUAUUUCAUGAAGGGUUUUCAUACCCCUCUCGUGAUUACAAAAUCACCAAUGGAUCCUUCUGAGCCUUUA